rnacentral:rRNA from 1 species
UAAGCAGAGUAUGAAAGCACACGGGCUCAACCGUGUAUCCGUAUUCUGAACUGGCAAACUAGAGGAUGAGAGAGGUUAUUGGAAUUUCUUGUGUAGGAGUGAAAUCCGUAGAUAUAAGAAGGAACACCGAUGGCGUAGGCAGAUAACUGGCUCAUAUCUGACACUGAGGCACGAAAGCGUGGGGAGCAAACGGGAUUAGAUACCCCGGUAGUCCACGCCGUAAACGAUGGAUGCUA